CAAAAGCCAGCUAGAUGGUAAGGGAUAGAGAGCACCCGAGCUGAGCUGUCCGCAUCAGCUGCCACGGGGAAGCUGAAAUUGAAUACGCAGUCCUGUAAAUUGGUUACAGAAACACAGUUCAGAAGGAGAAAGCUAGUCAGAAUGAUCAAAAGCAGGAGGGCCUAAUACCAGUGGACACCUCGGUAAAACAAUUGUAAAAUUUGAGCCACUGCCCGGAGCGGAGAGAUAUCUGAGGAUCUCCAUUUAUGCACCAAGCUGGAAUCUGGAAUGUGCUUUGCUUCUCUCAUGGCCUGAACUAAAUACGCUGAAACAGAUGAAGAGGGUUCCUGGGGUCCCAACUCUGAGGCUCAGCACUUGAGUGACCAUGGAGCACUUCCUGAAUGAAUGGGGAUGUGAUCACAAGUCCUGUGAAGCCUGCUGCACAAGAUGACGGCUUCCACCCACCCGCAUCCUCAAGAUCUCCAGUCCCUGGUUUGUGCAGGCCAGCCCGGCAGGGCACCCCACCACGUCUCCCUCCCUGAGUCAGAUCAGGGCUGCAAAAGAUCUCCAAAGCGCAGAGGCGCAGAGAUGUGUGUGGAGGCAGGCCUGGCCCAGCCCCACCCCAGUGCCACAAGGGAGAUUUUAGCCUAAAGAGGAAACACCUUUCUCUUUUCCUCAAAUUUCCUUCCAUCUCUCCCUGCCACCCUCUUUCCUAAAUAACACUGGAGUUUGUGAACGUUCAGGGAGUCACACAGAAAAUGGCACUGCUUUUUUCCUACUUAAGCCAUGCUUUGUAUAGCUUCACACUGCAGCAGCAUCAGAGAAACUUGGGUUAAUGCGUAGGAGUCAUUUUAAGCCAUCGCUUUUCACUAGAGCCUUUAAAGAUAUAGUCAGUUAAAACAUUUUUGCUCUCCUAAAAGGAUAUUCUUUCCCCCUGAUAUGGCAGCUUACUGUAACAAUAUAACUGAUCCCUUCUAUAGGAAAAAUAGAGUCCACACCUUUAUUGAUUCUCUAAUUCUCUACUUCAUUACAUUCAUAAAAUCUCUUUAAAAAUUUAAUAAAAUCUUAGGCAACUUAUGACCACAACUGACUACUUAGCAGUUAGUAAAUCACUUCUGAUUUCUAAGGGUUGCUCAAUGUCAGUUCAGUGGAAGCAUAGCUGUUUUAAGUUGCAGUGAGAUAAAGUAUAACUGUCGCUGCCUCUCCCUUCCCAGC
ensembl:lncRNA